UACGUAGGGUGCGAGCGUUGUCCGGAAUUAUUGGGCGUAAAGAGCUUGUAGGCGGUUUGUCGCGUCUGCCGUGAAAAUCCGAGGCUCAACCUCGGACUUGCGGUGGGUACGGGCAGACUAGAGUGUGGUAGGGGAGACUGGAAUUCCUGGUGUAGCGGUGAAAUGCGCAGAUAUCAGGAGAAACACCGAUGGCGAAGGCAGGUCUCUGGGCCACUACUGACGCUGAGAAGCGAAAGCGUGGGGAGCGAACAGG
rnacentral:rRNA from 1 species